rnacentral:tRNA from 1 species
GGUAGAGUGGCCGAGAAUAAGCAAUAAACUGUAAAUUUAUUUAUGAGAUACAUCUCUUCUACCA